AACGAACGCUGGCGGCAGGCCUAACACAUGCAAGUCGAACGAUCUCUUCGGAGAUAGUGGCGGACGGGUUAGUAACGCGUGGGAAUAUGCCCCUGGGUAAGGAACAACAGCUGGAAACGGCUGCUAAUACCUUAUGAUGUCUACGGACCAAAGAUUUAUCGCCCAGGGAUUAGCCCGCGUUGGAUUAGGUAGUUGGAGGGGUAACGGCCCACCAAGCCUACGAUCCAUAGCUGGUUUGAGAGGAUGAUCAGCAACACUGGGACUGAGACACGGCCCAGACUCCUACGGGAGGCAGCAGUGGGGAAUCUUAGACAAUGGGGGAAACCCUGAUCUAGCCAUGCCGCGUGAUUGAUGAAGGCCUUAGGGUUGUAAAGAUCUUUCGCUGGGGACGAUAAUGACGGUACCCAGAGAAGAAGUCCCGGCUAACUUCG
rnacentral:rRNA from 1 species